rnacentral:rRNA from 1 species
GACGAACGCUGGCGGCGCGCUUAACACAUGCAAGUCGAGCGAGAACCUGGGCUUCGGCCCAGGGGACAGCGGCGAACGGGUGAGUAACACGUGGAUAACCUGCCCUCGGCACCGGGAUAGCCCGGGGAAACUCGGAUUAAUACCGGAUGGCCCUUUCGGCUCUCGAGCCGGUCGGAAAAGGUAGCUUCGGCCUCCGGCCGAGGAAGGGUUCGCGGCGAAUUAGCUUGUUGGUGGGGUAAUGGCCUACCAAGGCUCCGAUCCGUAGCUGGUCUGAGAGGACGAUCAGCCACACUGGGACUGAGACACGGCCCAGACUCCAGCGGGAGGCAGCAGUGGGGAAUCUUGCGCAAUGGGCGAAAGCCUGACGCAGCGACGCCGCGUGAGGGAGGAAGGCCUUCGGGUUGUAAACCUCUUUCAGGAGGGACGAAGCUACUCGGGUGAAUGGCCCAGAGGGUGACGGUACCUCCAGAAGAAGCCCCGGCUAACUACGUGCCAGCAGCCGCAGUAAGAC